AUGCUAACUUUGACGGCAUGGAGUCUAAAAUUGGAAUGAUGCAGAAAAGAUGCAUGGCCCUUGCUCAGGGACAACAUGCAAAUUCAUGAAGCAUUCUCUCUCUCU